rnacentral:siRNA from 1 species
UUGGCACUUUUUGCCUUGAUGCA